GUAGCUGUGAGUGACCGCAUGCACAUCACUGACCUGGGUGAGGUUAGGUGUGCCUGACAGCAUGCACAUCACUGCCCUGGGGAAGGUUAGCUGUGCCUGACAACAUGCACAUUACUGACCUGGGGAAGGUGUGCCUGACAGCAUGCACAUCUCUCCCCUAGCCAGGCAGCUCUGAGGAGUUAGCAAGCUGCCUAGUGAAAGGGGACAGUAGGCCGCUGUGUAGGACAUGCAGGCUGGCCCAUUCCUUACCAACCAACUCUCUGCCACAGGAAAAAUGGAAGGGUCUGUCAGCCUUUGAGGGCAGGAAUAAAUGGGUCGCAUGGGGGAUACUUGGUUCCCGUCUUCAUAGAACAGAAAGAGCAACUUGAUGCAAGUAGGGGAGCCAUCACCUCAGGGUUCCUGUGGAGUUUGGGGGGGGGGGGGUUGAUACCAAGGGU